rnacentral:rRNA from 1 species
UUCAACACUGGGAUAACUCCGGGAAACCGGGGCUAAUACCGGAUAUGAAAUCUGCGGGCAUCCGCGGAUUUGGAAAGUUUUUCGGUUGAAGAUGAUCUCGCGGCCUAUCAGCUUGUUGGUGAGGUAAUGGCUCACCAAGGCGACGACGGGUAGCCGGCCUGAGAGGGCGACCGGCCACACUGGGACUGAGACACGGCCCAGACUCCUACGGGAGGCAGCAGUGGGGAAUAUUGGGCAAUGGAGGAAACUCUGACCCAGCGACGCCGCGUGCGGGAUGAAGGCCUUCGGGUUGUAAACCGCUUUCAGCAGGGAAGAAGCGAAAGUGACGGUACCUGCAGAAGAAGCACCGGCUAACUAUGUGCCAGCAGCCGCGGUAAUACAUAGGGUGCAAGCGUUGUCCGGAAUUAUUGGGCGUAAAGAGCUCGUAGGUGGUUCGUCACGUCGGAUGUGAAACUCUGGGGCUUAACCCCAGACCUGCAUUCGAUACGGGCGAGCUUGAGUAUGGUAGGGGAGUCUGGAAUUCCUGGUGUAGCGGUGGAAUGCGCAGAUAUCAGGAGGAACACCAAUGGCGAAGGCAGGACUCUGGGCCAUUACUGACACUGAGGAGCGGAAGCGUGGGGAGCGAACAGGAUUAGAUACCCUGGUAGUCCACGCCGUAAACGGUGGGCACUAGUUGUGGGGACCUUCCACGGUCUCUGCGACGCAGCUAACGC